CAACAAAUGUAUUAUACAGCAACAAAGAUCACAUACAGAGGAGUUUUAUCAAGAUCUUCGACUUAAGUCAAGACAAUACUCAGAUUCCAGACAACUCAAAAGGUUUCUUGACAAAGGAAUUGCCAAGAGAGUCUCAAAUCUAUGGAUCUUAGCCAAAUUUAUCGAAAAUCUUAAAGUAUAAAUGCAUUAUAUGUACAAUAAAAUGUAAACUGGAACAUUAUAUGUACAAUAAAAUGUAAACUGGAACGAAGUCUCCAAAGUCCCUUGACUAGGGUUUCAAGAAAUAACAGCAAACCACUGGAUUAGGUGUGUAGUGUUUUAGAUCUAUGCAAUCGAAGCCAUGAACCACAUUCUUACAGCUCUGAUACAACUGUUUGGAUUAUGUUUAUUCGAUUAGUCGAUAAUAUUAACGAAAUACAGAAUAUAAAUGUGCAAGAAAAUGAAAAACUGUAAGAACACAGAAUUUUCAUCCUAAGGCAAGAGGUUUAGAAUAAGCUCUUAAUACCUUUUUGUGCCUCCACCACCGGAAGAAAUCACUACAUUAACCGGAAUCAAAAUACCGUUCAAAAUUACAAUAUAGCCUCAAGAACCCAGAAAUCACUCAAGAUUACAGUAAACCCUCUUAAACACGAGAAACCCAUUUCACUCAAGAGCUAUACAUGAAAUCACCAAAACUACAAAUCACUCAAGACUUGUAAUACAUGAUCUCAUAUUGAAGAUGAAGUAUCUUCAAAGUUUACACUCAAGAAGGAACUAGAGAGGCACUCAGUUAUUCAGAGAGAAGAAAGAAUCACCAUAGACAAAUGACCCAAAAACAAUAAUGAAGAAGUCUCAAAAUGCCAAAACCAAGUAAAUAGAAGUCACCAGAAGGUCGCCAAUCCAACGGCUGAGGAGGCAACACAUGGCAUCAUCUAGAUCACUUGGUCAACUAACAAAAAUGUAUUUCU
rnacentral:lncRNA from 1 species